GCUCGUGAAAGGCAGUUUCACAUCAUUCGUAAUGAUGGGGUCACGUGUUCGAGUCACGUAAGCGGCACCA
rnacentral:tRNA from 1 species